rnacentral:rRNA from 1 species
UACGAAGGGGGCUAGCGUUGCUCGGAAUUACUGGGCGUAAAGCGCACGUAGGCGGUCUUUUAAGUCGGGGGUGAAAUCCUGGAGCUCAACUCCAGAACUGCCUUCGAUACUGGAAGACUUGAGUCCGGGAGAGGUGAGUGGAACUGCGAGUGCAGAGGUGAAAUUCGUAGAUAUUCGCAAGAACACCAGUGGCGAAGGCGGCUCACUGGCCCGGUACUGACGCUGAGGUGCGAAAGCGUGGGGAGCGAACAGG